GGGUGUAAAGCGCGCGUAGGUGGUUAAUUAAGUCAGAUGUGAAAUCCCCGGGCUUAACCUGGGAAUUGCAUUUGAAACUGAUUGGCUAGAGUACGGGAGAGGGAAGUGGAAUUUCCGGUGUAGCGGUGAAAAUGCGUAGAUAUCGGAAGGAACACCAGUGGCGAAGGCGACUUCCUGGCCCGUUACUGACACUGAGGCGCGAAAAGCGUGGGGAGCGAACAGGAUUAGAUACCCUGGUAGUCCACGCCGUAAAACGAUGAGAACUAGAUGUUAGGUGGCUUAGACCAUUUAGUAUCGCAGCAAAACGCGUUAAAGUUCUCCGCCUGGGGGAGUACGGUCGCAAAGAUUAAAAACUU
rnacentral:rRNA from 1 species